GAACCAGUCCACAUUCAGCAUCAAGGCCAAAUUAUUUGGUUCUGCUAAAAAAUGCUCUCCAUUCACAUGCUGGUAAUCCUGCCAUACUUGUCCAUCAAAAACGUCUCCUAACACACUCUCAGUCAGCCAGAAAUGACAGAAAUGAUUUGCCAUCCCCUGUAUCACUGUACAACAAGCUUGGAGCUGUGUCUGCUUGUAUUCUGUGCUCUGUGCUGAGAGGAGAAGAGUAGCUCUGCAGUGACAGUCAGACACAUUGGGAGUCCUGUAAGGACACCAUUACAGUAGUCGAGUCUGCUAAAGAUCCACGCGUGGACAAGUUUCUCCAAAUCCUGCCGAGACAUAAGUCCGCUUAUCCUGGAUAAAUUCUUAAGG